AGCCACAGCCAUCUCACCCUGCAGAUCAAGACUGGUUACUCACUGAAGCUAACCAGUGCUGAGCCUGGCCAGUGCCUGGAUGGGAGGCCACAUGGGAAAACAAGGUUGCUGAUGAAA
rnacentral:rRNA from 1 species